CAGUCGCCGCGGUAAUACGGAGGGAGCUAGCGUUGUUCGGAAUCACUGGGCGUAAAGCGCACGUAGGCGGCUAUUCAAGUCAGGGGUGAAAGCCCGGGGCUCAACCCCGGAACUGCCUUUGAAACUAGAUAGCUUGAAUCUUGGAGAGGCGAGUGGAAUUCCGAGUGUAGAGGUGAAAUUCGUGGAUAUUCGGAAGAACACCAGUGGCGAAGGCGACUCGCUGGACAAGUAUUGACGCUGAGGUGCGAAAGCGUGGGGAGCAAACAGGAUUAGAUACCCCUGUAGUCCCUGUCUCUUAUAC
rnacentral:rRNA from 1 species